rnacentral:rRNA from 1 species
CCUACGGGUGGCAGCAGUGAGGAAUAUUGGUCAAUGGCCGGAAGGCUGACCCAGCCAUGCCGCGUGAAGGUCAGUGCCCUUUGGGCGUUAAACUUCUUUUGUGCGGGAGCAAUAAUGGUCACGUGUGGCCAGACGAGAGUACCGUGCGACUAAGCAUCGGCUAACUCCGUGCCAGCAGCCGCGGUCAUACGGGGGAUGAAAGCGUUAUCCGGAUUUAUUGGGGUGUAAGGGUGCGGUGGGUGUGAGGUAGAUCAGCGGUGAAAUGCCCCCGCGCAACGGGGUGAAGUGCUAUUGAUACUGCCUUGCUGGAAUGCGGAUGCGGUGGGAGGAAUGUGUGGUGUAGCGGUGAAAUGCAUAGAUA